GCCGCAGUAUUUUAACUGUGCAAAGGUAGCAUGAUCAUUUGCUUCUUAAUUAGGGGCUUGUAUGAAUGGUUGGAUGAAAAAUUAACUUUCUUUAUUUUAUUUUAAUUAAUUUUAUUUUUUAGUUAAAAAGCUAAAAUUUUUUUAUUAGACGAGAAGACCCUAUAGAACUUUAUUUUUAAUUAAUUUAUUUUAUUUUGGUUUAUUUUAUACUGAUUUAAUUAUAUAUUUUGUUGGGGUGACAGGUAAAUUUUUUUAACUUUAUUUAUUUCACAUCAUUUUUAUAUGAUUGUUUUGAUCCAUAUUUUAUGAUUAUAAGUUUAAGUUACCUUAGGGAUAACAGCGUUAUUUUAUUGGAGAGUUCAUAUUUAUAAUAAAGUUUGCGACCUCGAUGUUGGAUUAAA
rnacentral:rRNA from 1 species